rnacentral:rRNA from 1 species
GACGAACGCUGGCGGCGUGCCUAAUACAUGCAAGUUGAGCGCUGAAGGUUGGUACUUGUACCGACUGGAUGAGCAGCGAACGGGUGAGUAACGCGUGGGGAAUCUGCCUUUGAGCGGGGGACAACAUUUGGAAACGAAUGCUAAUACCGCAUAAAAACUUUAAACACAAGUUUUAAGUUUGAAAGAUGCAAUUGCAUCACUCAAAGAUGAUCCCGCGUUGUAUUAGCUAGUUGGUGAGGUAAAGGCUCACCAAGGCGAUGAUACAUAGCCGACCUGAGAGGGUGGUCGGCCACAUUGGGACUGAGACACGGCCCAAACUCCUACGGGAGGCAGCAGUAGGGAAUCUUCGGCAAUGGACGAAAGUCUGACCGAGCAACGCCGCGUGAGUGAAGAAGGUUUUCGGAUCGUAAAACUCUGUUGGUAGAGAAGAACGUUGGUGAGAGUGGAAAGCUCAUCAAGUGACGGUAACUACACAGAAAGGGACGGCUAACUACGUG